rnacentral:rRNA from 1 species
UGAAUGUGUUAAUCCUAAAYUAUUAGUAGUUAAGUUCUUGAAAGUUAAUGAAGAUGGCGGUAUUUUAGUCUAUUCAGAGGAAUCUGCCCUGUAAUUGAUAAUCCACGAUUCAAAUUACUUGGGGUUUUAGCUUAUAUAUCGCUGUAGGUUGAAUAUUUUUAUUGAAUUUUAAUAUUCAUGAGUUUUAUGGAAAGGAAAUCAAGUCAAGAUGUAGCUUAUACCUAAGAAGAGGUGGAUUACAAUAUUUAUAUCUGUGGUUAGUUAUUUGAAAUGGUAGCUAUAAAAUGGAUUUGACAGUAAUUUUUUAUUAAGAUUUGAAAGAUGAUUUUAGCUCUAAAAUA